GAUGAACGCUAGCUACAGGCUUAACACAUGCAAGUCGAGGGGUAGCAGGGUAGCAAUACCGCUGACGACCGGCGCACGGGUGAGUAACACGUAUCCAACCUACCGUUUACUCGGGGAUAGCCUUUCGAAAGAAAGAUUAAUACCCGAUAGUAUGAAGAGUUCGCAUGUUCUCUUUAUUAAAGGAUUCCGGUAAAUGAUGGGGAUGCGUUCCAUUAGAUUGUUGGCGGGGUAACGGCCCACCAAGUCUUCGAUGGAUAGGGGUUCUGAGAGGAAGGUCCCCCACAUUGGAACUGAGACACGGUCCAAACUCCUACGGGAGGCAGCAGUGAGGAAUAUUGGUCAAUGGGCGUUAGCCUGAACCAGCCAAGUAGCGUGAAGGAUGACUGCCCUAUGGGUUGUAAACUUCUUUUAUAAGGGAAUAAAACGGGGAACGUGUUCCCCUUUGCAUGUACCUUACGAAUAAGGAUCGGCUAACUCCGUGCCAGCAGCCGCCGUAA
rnacentral:rRNA from 1 species